rnacentral:misc_RNA from 1 species
GAUGAAGAACGUAGCGAAAUGCGAUAAGUAAUGUGAAUUGCAGAAUCCAGUGAAUCAUCGAAUCUUUGAACGCACAUUGCGCCCGCCAGUAUUCUGGCGGGCAUGCCUGUCCGAGCGUCAUUUCAACCAUCAAGCCCCAGGCUUGUGUUGGGGACCCGCGUCCGACGCAGGCCCUGAAAACCAGUGGCGGGCUCGCUGUCCACACCGAGCGUAGUAACUAACCUCGCUACGGGAGCGGCGCGGGCGCCUGCCGUAAAACCCCCAAUUUUCACAAGGUUGACCUCGGAUCAGGUAGGAAUACCCGCUGAACUUAAGCAUAUCAAUAAGCGGAGGA